AACGAACGCUGGCGGCAUGCCUAACACAUGCAAGUCGAACGAGAUCUUCGGGUCUAGUGGCGCACGGGUGCGUAACGCGUGGGAAUCUGCCCUUUGGUUCGGAAUAACAGUUGGAAACGACUGCUAUUACCGGAUGAUGACGAAAGUCCAAAGAUUUAUCGCCAGAGGAUGAGCCCGCGUAGGAUUAGCUAGUUGGUGGGGUAAAGGCGCACCAAGGCGACGAUCCUUAGCGGGUCUGAGAGGAUGAUCAGCCACACUGGGACUGAGACACGGCCCAGACUCCUACGGGAGGCAGCAGUGGGGAAUAUUGGACAAUGGGCGAAAGCCUGAUCCAGCAAUGCCGCGUGAGUGAUGAAGGCCUUAGGGUUGUAAAGCUCUUUUACCCGGGAUGAUAAUGACAGUACCGGGAGAAUAAGCUCCGGCUAACUCCGUGCCAGCCGCCGCAGUAA
rnacentral:rRNA from 1 species